GAUGAACGCUGGCGGCGUGCUUAACACAUGCAAGUCGAACGAAUCUUGAGGAGCUUGCUCCUCUUGGUUAGUGGCGGACGGGUGAGUAACGCGUGGGUAACCUGCCCUAUGCAGGGGGGAUAACGUUUGGAAACGAACGCUAAUACCGCAUAAUAAAGAAUCUUCGCAUGUUGAUUCUUUCAAAGAUUUAUCGGCAUAGGAUGGACCCGCGUUGGAUUAGCUAGUUGGUGAGAUAACAGCCCACCAAGGCGACGAUCCAUAGCCGGCCUGAGAGGGUGAACGGCCACAUUGGGACUGAGACACGGCCCAAACUCCUACGGGAGGCAG
rnacentral:rRNA from 1 species